AGGAAGGCUCUUGGGUUGUAAACCUCUUUUCUCGGGAAGAAAUAAUGACGGUACCUGAGGAAUAAGCAUCGGCUAACUCCGUGCCAGCAGCCGCGGUAAUACGGAGGAUGCAAGCGUUAUCCGGAAUGAUUGGGCGUAAAGCGUCCGCAGGUGGCAGUGUAAGUCUGCUGUUAAAGAGUCUGGCUCAACCAGAUAAGGGCAGUGGAAACUACACAGCUAGAGUACGUUCGGGGCAGAGGGAAUUCCCGGUGUAGCGGUGAAAUGCGUAGAGAUCAGGAAGAACACCCGUGGCGAAAGCGCUCUCCUAGGCCGCAACUGACACUGAGGGACGAAAGCUAGGGGAGCGAAUGGGAUUAGAUA
rnacentral:rRNA from 1 species